GUUUUAGGGAGAGAUUUGCAGAUCCGUCCGGAUUUAGGGGAAUUAUUAUGUCCGGUGAUGCUGCAGAGUGUCUGGGAAUUGAUACACUCUAUAAUUAGGAUUGUUCAGCCUUUGCCGCAAGGCUCGGGCCUAACUCACUGCGAUAAUUGCUGUACAGGUCUUUCCACGUCAGGAGUACAGGAGCAAGAGAGAGAUAAGAUGGCCGCAGCUCCCUUAUAUGAGGCGUGGCGAAUCUGAUUGUCCGAACAUCUGCCAUUCACCAUUACAUGGUGUAAUGGGAUUGCUUACGUCACAGGGCCUCCAAAGGUCCUUAAGCUUAAUACCAUAGAGUUCACCUAGUCACAUGACCCACAGGUCCUGCAACGCUAUGGAAAACAAGAACCCCACCGGCUCACGCCGCCGAAUCCAUAUAAAUUGCUGAAUUAUGUUUGAAGAAAUGAAAGCUUGUGGAGAAAAGAUGACAAACAAGGUUUUAUAAGCCCAACUUGAUGCGGAUUAGAAGAAGCACGGAGCUCACACGCACUUGUCCAUGUAGCUAUGAAUCACACAGAGUCAUUGGCAUUCACAAAGACACAAGAGCCAUUUGCAGGUCAAUUCAUGGAUGUGGGGUUUUAAUCUGCAAAAUCGGCUACGGUGGAAAAAUUGUUAACAACCAAGUUGUACGCAUCCUCGCGCCCUGCCAAGAAAUUCUUGGCAACUUUUAUCAAGCUUGUUUUGCAAAAAAUAUACACUUAUCAG